AUUGAACGCUGGCGGCAUGCUUUACACAUGCAAGUCGAACGGUAACAGGGUGCUUGCACCGCUGACGAGUGGCGAACGGGUGAGUAAUGCAUCGGAAUGUACCGUGUAAUGGGGGAUAGCUCGGCGAAAGCCGGAUUAAUACCGCAUACGCCCUGAGGGGGAAAGUGGGGGACCGAAAGGCCUCACGUUAUACGAGCAGCCGAUGUCUGAUUAGCUAGUUGGUGAGGUAAAGGCUCACCAAGGCGUCGAUCAGUAGCGGGUCUGAGAGGAUGAUCCGCCACACUGGGACUGAGAAACGGCCCAGACUCCUACAGGAGGCAGCAGUGGGGAAUUUUGGACAAUGGGCGCAAGCCUGAUCCAGCCCUGCCGCGUGUCUGAAGAAGGCCUUCGGGUUGUAAAGGACUUUUGUCCGGGAGCAAAUCCUAGUGGUUAAUAACCGCUGGGUCUGGGAGUACCGGAAGAAUAAGCACCGGCUAACUACGUG
rnacentral:rRNA from 1 species